ensembl:snoRNA LOC120093472 small nucleolar RNA SNORA17
AUUUCCCCUGGAGGUGGCAGAGUGGGAGAGGCUGUCUAUGCUCAGCUGUCUGACCUAAGAACCUCUGAAUAGUAGUCUAACAUU